GAUGAAGAACUCAGCGAAAUGCGAUAAGUAGUGUGAAUUGCAGAAUUCAGUGAAUCAUCGAAUCUUUGAACGCACAUUGCACCUCUCGGUAUUCCGGGAGGUAUGCCUGUUCGAGCGUCAUUUGUACCCUCAAGCUCUGCUUGGUGUUGGGUGUUUGUUCCGCCUCUGUGUGUGAACUCGCCUCAAAACAAUUGGCAGCCGGCGUACUUGUUUCGGAGCGCAGCACAUUUUGCGAUCCAGAUCAACGUACAGCGGCAUCCAAGAAGCCUUAUUUAACGCUCUUGACCUCGGAUCAGGUAGGGAUACCCGCUGAACUUAAGCAUAUCAAUAAGCGGAGGA
rnacentral:misc_RNA from 1 species